UGCAUUUCCCAGGAAUCUUAUAUGUGUUUACUCGAAAAAGCACGUGAAUGAUGUUCCUGAGCUUGCUGGAAUGAAAAGAAAAGCAAACACACGGAGUUUGAAGGAAAUGACUUUGCAAUUGAGUGGAGAUGGGAAAGUGGGGUUCCGGGAUGUUGCUUUCUCUUCUUUCUCCUCAUCACUAGAUACUUUAAGUGAGAGGUGAACAAGAAGGUGCUUAAAGUUCCUGGAAUUGAACAGAAGGUAACUGAAUUGCCUUUAGCACUUCUAGUAGCUAUGCCAAGGUAAUAUGUUAAUAGUCAUGCACAUGAAUCUUCAUGGCCUUAUUUCAGGAUACAAAAGUAUGCAUGUUUCUUAUGCCAUGGGAUUUGAAGUGCUAUUAAUCAACUAUGGAAGAGCACAUUUUUUGGUAUUAAUAAUUGUGCAUGGCUUCUAUAGAUAGCUGAUUUUGUUUCAAAUUUGGAAAGCAGCUAAGAAACUAAUUAAUUAGGCACAUGAAAGUUCUUAGAGGAGACAAUGUGAGGGCCAUGAGAUUCUUCCUUCUUUGCCUCUUGUCUUUUUCUAUAUUUAUAAGUUAAUUGUGUUCCAAUCUCAUCUGCAGGUGAUGGUCAUAAGAGGCAAAGACAAGGGUGAGACCGGUGACAUCAAGUAAGUCAUUUGCUCUCAGAAUUGUGUAAAUGUGGGAAGUAUACCAUCCAAUCAAUAAUUUGCAUAUGAUUCUCUUUGAACCAUAUGAGAAACCCUGAUCUUUUCAUAUUUUAGUUUUAAAUAAGCUUGUUCCAAUCCCAAGGCUUUUGGGUAUUCCAAUGAAUGAGAUGGUUUUGGUUAACAAAUAUUCUGCCUUUUCAAGUAAAGAAACAUAUAAGCAAGGCCAAGGUCAUGAAGGUGGGAUAUUUACUGUCGAAGCUCCUCUUCAUGCCUCAAAUGUGCAAGUUGUUGAUCCAGUAACAGGGUAUGGAAGUAAUCAUAACAUUGUACAUUGACAAUUGUUGUUGAGUUUUGUUAUUUGCUUACACUUCUAGUGUGGUGAUUAGAUAUUUUCAUCAUGUGCAAGCGACCUUGUAAGGAUGGGGUUAAAUAUCUUGAGGAUGGAACAAAAGUUAAGAGUAGAAAGAGGCAUAGGAGCAUCAUGAUCUAUAGCUAUGAAAAAAGUGAAGGGCACAAGACCUUGUCAUUGCAGGUUUGAUCACCCAUCUAAAGUUAUGAAGAAAAG